rnacentral:rRNA from 1 species
GAGUUUGAUCAUGGCUCAGAGCGAACGCUGGCGGCAGGCCUAACACAUGCAAGUCGAGCGCCCGUAGCAAUACGGGAGCGGCAGACGGGAGAGUAACACGUGGGAACGCGCCCUUCGGUUCGGAAUAACUCAGGGAAACUUGAGCUAAUACCGGAUACGCCCUUACGGGGAAAGAUUUAUUGCCGAAGGAACGGCCCGCGUCCGAUUAGCUUGUUGGUGAGGUAAUGGCUCACCAAGGCGACGAUCGGUAGCUGGUCUGAGAGGAUGACCAGCCUCACUGGGACUGAGACACGGCCCAGACUCCUACGGGAGGCAGCAGUGGGGAAUAUUGGACAAUGGGCGCAAGCCUGAUCCAGCCAUGCCGCGUGGAUGAUGAAGGCCCUAGGGUUGUAAAGUCCUUUUAACGGGGAAGAUAAUGACGGUACCCGUAGAAUAAGCCCGGCUAACUUCGUGCCAGCAGCCGCUGU